rnacentral:rRNA from 1 species
CCCUUAGAUGUCCUGGGCCGCACGCGCGUUACACUGAUGCAUUCAACGAGCUUAUAACCUUGGCCGAGAGGCCUGGGCAAUCUUGUUAACGUGCAUCGUGAGAGGGAUAGAUUAUUGAAAUUAUUAAUCUUGAACGAGGAAUUCCUAGUAAACGCAGAUCAUCAAUCUGCAUUGAUUACGUCCCUGCCCUUUGUACACACCGCCCGUCGCACCUACCGAUUGGAUGGUCCGGUGAAGCCUCGGGAUUGUGGUUCUUGCCGCUUUAUUGUGGCGUGACCGCGAGAACUUGUCUAAACCUUAUCAUCUAGAGGAAGGUGAAGUCGUAACA